rnacentral:rRNA from 1 species
UACGUAGGGUGCAAGCGUUGUCCGGAAUUAUUGGGCGUAAAGAGCUCGUAGGCGGUUUGUUGCGUCGGCUGUGAAAUCCCGAGGCUCAACCUCGGGUCUGCAGUCGAUACGAGCAAACUAGAGUGUUGCAGGGGAGACUGGAAUUCCUGGUGUAGCGGUGAAAUGCGUAGAUAUUGGGAGGAACACCAGUGGCGAAGGCGGCUCGCUGGACCGGAACUGACGCUGAGGCGCGAAAGCCAGGGGAGCGAACGGG